rnacentral:rRNA from 1 species
GACGAACGCUGGCGGCGUGCUUAACACAUGCAAGUCGAACGGAAAGGCCCUGCUUUUGUGGGGUGCUCGAGUGGCGAACGGGUGAGUAACACGUGAGUAACCUGCCCUUGACUUUGGGAUAACUUCAGGAAACUGGGGCUAAUACCGGAUAGGAGCUCCUGCUGCACGGUGGGGGUUGGAAAGUUUCGGCGGUUGGGGAUGGACUCGCGGCUUAUCAGCUUGUUGGUGGGGUAGUGGCUUACCAAGGCUUUGACGGGUAGCCGGCCUGAGAGGGUGACCGGCCACAUUGGGACUGAGAUACGGCCCAGACUCCUACGGGAGGCAGCAGUGGGGAAUAUUGCACAAUGGGCGGAAGCCUGAUGCAGCAACGCCGCGUGCGGGAUGACGGCCUUCGGGUUGUAAACCGCUUUCGCCUGUGACGAAGCGUGAGCGACGGUAAUGGGUAAAGAAGCACCGGCUAACUACGUG